rnacentral:tRNA from 1 species
GCCUGGGUGGCUCAGUCGGUUGAGCAUCCGACUUCAGCUCAGGUCAUGAUCUCAUGGUUCGUGGAUUAGAGCCCCACAUCAGGCU